GCCAGCAUCAAAUUUCCAGCGUAAAUCUCCAGUUCCACGAGUAAAAUACUAUCCUGGGAGGGACACAGUAAAUUCUGUCUCCUAUCCAAAUAUGGGUGGGAAGAAAAAGAAGAGCCUAGUUGAGACUUAUUCUCAGCCAGAACCUGAGCCAGAGCCAGAGCCAGAGCCUGAACCUGAACCUGAACCAGAGCUUGAGCCUGAGACCACAUUCCCAGAUGGGGAUGUCUUUGAUGAGUUGUCAGAUGCUGAGUCUUCAGAUACUGAGGUUUACGAUGAUGAAGAUGCAGAAGAACAGGAAUCUGCUCAACAUAGGGAUUUGAGUGCAUUAAAACUACCAGAAUUGAGGGCCCUUGCAAAGUCCCGAGGCAUGAAAGGGUUCUCAAAGCUGAAGAAAGGCGAGCUCAUGGAGCUGUUAAUUGGGCGCUCAAUCUGAUCCAUGAAGCAUGAAAGAUGAAAAACACAGAGCCACUUUUGUGUGUUGAGAUAGUUUUGGGAUGUGCCUUUUUGUUUUUAGUAUAUCAACCAUUUCUAUUCCCGGUCUGUAAGAUUCAAUCCCUUGCAUGUUAUUCAAGGACUUGGAUCGUUUUGGAUUUUCAGAGAUAGUAGUGAAUCAAACUAGCCUUUUAACUUCUUAGCUCCUUUAUGAAUGCAUGGGAUUCCUUGAUGAGGUUUUGACAUAGUUCUUCUCUGAUUGUUCUCUCGUCUGCCAGUUUUACUGCUAUUCUGGUUUUGAUGUCAUAAUUUCCUGAAGUAAUGCUUAUAUUUUGAAUCUGCUGUC
rnacentral:lncRNA from 1 species